rnacentral:rRNA from 1 species
UACGGGGGGGGCAAGCGUUGUUCGGAAUUACUGGGCGUAAAGGGCUUGUAGGUGGCCAACUAAGUCAAACGUGAAAUCCCUCAGCUUAACUGGGGAACUGCGUCUGAUACUGGAUGGCUUGAGUUUGGGAGAGGGACGCGGAAUUCCUGGUGUAGCGGUGAAAUGCGCAGAUAUCAGGAGGAACACCGGUGGCGAAGGCGGGUCUCUGGGCAACAACUGACGCUGAGGAGCGAAAGCGUGGGGAGCGAACAGG